AGGGCCUCUUAGGCUACUGCCAGACAAUCCGCAGCGGCUUCUUCUGCUCCGACGGUGCAUGCGAAUGAGGUUGAGGAUAACGCUGAUGUUGCAGGCGAGCACAGCCACGAUAAGCAGCAGGAGCAUCGUGGCGUACAGCUGAAGGUAAUGAAGCUACUGUUGCUUGUCCAGGCCACACUUUCAGAAGUGUUGAUCUAGCAUGCCUGCCUGCUACAGAGUCUGCUGGGAAAGCAUCGACCCAAACUUCCACCAUCACUGAGCGGGAAGAGAGAAUGAAGAGGUUGGGGAAUCUGAUAAUUGAUCUCUAGAAGAUGAUCUGUGAGAGGGAUGAACUUCAUUCAGUCUUGACCCAUUACACCAAAAAGGAUUUGAACCACAGGUCUGAAAUACUCCGGCAGAAGAUCAAACAGGGCAUAGACAAGUGCUCUCUCAGACAGAACUCUUCAAGGGGAGCACUGGGUGUGCAAAGCAAGUGAACCAUCAUUGCAUCUCAUCCCUGUAACCAUGGCAAUUUUGGGCUGCAUUUCCUUUCUUCACUUUGGUUUACUAUUUGUGAAUAGGCCUUGGCUUUGUCUAGCCUCUGACCCAUCAAUAGUGCUUCUGGGUCCGAUUGCCUUUCCUUCUCUGACAGAACCCUUGAGAGAACUGUGGAGGGGGAAAGAAUGCCACUGACAACUUGGAGCACAACAUUCUCUGCACUAGGAUCAAAGCCUCCUCAGAAAAAGUUACCUCCUUAGAGAUGUGAACUCAACAGGGAGGCAAAUACCAACUGAUGUCUGGUAAAGCAGUCAGAAUCUGAGCCACUUGUCUGUUGGCUAACUACUCCAUGGGGAAAGAAAAUUAGAUCAAGAUACAUAAAACUAGGUACAAGAAUUACUCAGAACUCUGACACUCAACAAGUCAUACCAGCAAAGGCACAAUAUAUAGAGAAUAGGUUGUUGGGAAAGUACUACUCUCCUAGGGGCUUUGGCAAGCUGAGUCUUCCAUAUGUGGUGGUGAAUCUGUCGUGGGAACAUGUUGAUGCCACACUCUUUUCCAAACAGACCACACCCAAAAGCAUAUUUUUUCUCAGUUUAGUGUUGAAGGUAUUCCAUGUUACAUAUGUAUGUGAUACUGAAGUUAAUGUUCUUUACAGAUGACAGAGAUCCCUCUCUCCUUGUGUUAGUCAUUUAUUUUUCCAUAAAGAGAACUGCUGGGUA
rnacentral:lncRNA from 1 species